AAAUUGAAGAGUUUGAUCAUGGCUCAGAUUGAACGCUGGCGGCAGGCCUAACACAUGCAAGUCGAACGGUAACAGGAAGCAGCUUGCUGCUUCGCUGACGAGUGGCGGACGGGUGAGUAAUAUCUGGGAAACUGCCUGAUGGAGGGGGAUAACUACUGGAAACGGUGGCUAAUACCGCAUAACGUCGCAAGACCAAAGAGGGGGACCUUCGGGCCUCUUGCCAUCAGAUGUGCCCAGAUGGGAUUAGCUUGUUGGUGAGGUAACGGCUCACCAAGGCGACGAUCCCUAGCUGGUCUGAGAGGAUGACCAGCCACACUGGAACUGAGACACGGUCCAGACUCCUACGGGAGGCAGCAGUGGGGAAUAUUGCACAAUGGGCGCAAGCCUGAUGCAGCCAUGCCGCGUGUAUGAAGAAGGCCUUCGGGUUGUAAAGUACUUUCAGCGGGGAGGAAGGUGU
rnacentral:rRNA from 2 species